rnacentral:tRNA from 1 species
GCUCCUAUUGUCUAAUGGUUAGGAUGCCAGACUUCUAUUCAUUCAUCUGGUGGUUGUGGGUUCGAGUCCCACCAGGAGUU